rnacentral:pre_miRNA from 1 species
CGGUGAAUUUUGCUAUCGGUGAUGUUAACGUCGGUUUUUCAUCACCGGGUAGAAUUCAUCCAG